CGCGCAAAUUACCCACUUCCCGGCACGGGGUAGGUAGUGACAAAAAAUAACGAUACGGGUACUCUUAUGAGGCCCCGUAAUCGGAAUGAGUACACUUUAAAUCCUUUAACAAGGGAUCCAUUGGAGGGCAAGUCUGGUGCCAGCAGCUGCGGUAAUUCCAGCUCCAAUAGCGUAUAUUAAAGUUGUUGCGGUUAAAAAGCUCGUAGUUGGUUCUGCGUGCUACGCUGUCGGUUCGCCGCCUGCCGGUGUAACUGGCAUGCCGUGGCAUGUCCUGUCGGUGGCGAACGAGCCCCUUGUCUAGGUGACGGCCGGAGGCAACUUCGCGUCCGUAGGCCGGAGGUUCAACUCGUUCGUCUGCUCUAUCCUACCUAGGUGCUCUUCACCGAGUGUCGAGGUAGGCCGACACGUUUACUUUGAACAAAUUAGAGUGCUCAAAGCAGGCUGAAAUCUCUGCCUGAAUAGUGGUGCAUGGAAUAAUAAAACAGGACCUUGGUUCUAUUUUGUUGGUUCUUAAGAACACAAGGUAAUGAUCAAUACGGACAGGCGGGGGCAUUCGUAUUGCGACGUUAGAGGUGAAAUUCUUGGAUCGUCGCAAGACGCACAAGAGCGAAAGCAUUUGCCAAGUAUGUCUUGAUUGAUCAAGAACGAAAGUUAGAGGUUCGAAGGCGAUCAGAUACCGCCCUAGUUCUAACCAUAAACGAUGCCAGCCAGCGAUCCGCCGAUGUUCCUCCGAUGACUCGGCGGGGAGCUUCUCCCCGGGAAACCAAAGCUUUUGGGUUCCGGGGGAAGUAUGGUUGCAAAGCUGAAACUUAAAGGAAUUGACGGAAGGGCACCACCAGGAGUGGAGCCUGCGGCUUAAUUUGACUCAACACGGGAAACCUCACCAGGCCAGGACAUUGGAAGGAUUGACAGAUUGAUAGCUGCUUUCUUGAUUCAGUGGGUCAGUGG
rnacentral:rRNA from 1 species